CAAGCCUCCAUGAUGAAGCUUCUUUCAGUGCUGCAUGAGUCUGAGUGCGCCAUGCGGAGACCAACCUUGGAGAGCUGAGAGCUUG
ensembl:snoRNA SNORD39 Small nucleolar RNA SNORD55/SNORD39